rnacentral:lncRNA from 1 species
CACCAGAGGAGGGAGAAGCAGGCCCCAUGCCGGGAGCCCAACGCGGGACUUGAUCCCAGGACCCCAGGAUUGUGCCCUGGGCCAAAGGCAGGCGCUAAACUGCUGAGCCACCCAGGGAUCCCCGAGGGCAGGAACAUUUAUUUAUGUUGCUCACUGUUGUAUCUUCAGCACCUAAAAUAAUGUCUGUCACAAUGGAGAUGCUAAAAAGUCUUUCUGGAAUGAAGGCAUGAAUCUGUCAAGAGGGAACUCAAAUGUCUCCGCUUCCUUGAAGCAGUCUCCCAUCAUGACCAAAAGAAAUAGCUUCAGCUUCUCAACCUUGCAUCUUUUCCCUUGUACUUUGGCCCAUGGAUUGACAAAAUCAUUUAUCUAAAGGGCCAGAUAAAUAUUUUAGUCUUUAUUGACACUGCAGACAUACAGAUACUGUUGUAGGACAUACAGACAUCAUUGCGAUGACUCAGCUCUGCUGUUUUAGUGCAAAAGCAGCCCAAACCAAUUUGUAAAUAAAUGGGAAUAGUUGUAUUCCAAUAAAACAUCAUUUCAAAAAAUAGGCAGGUGGUGGGCUGGAUUUGGCCCUAGGCUGUACUUUGCUGCCCCCUGCUCUAUUUGUUUGUAUACCAAAUUUCUCCCUUUGGCUAGAUUCCUAAAUUAUGAAUUUCUCUGAGACAGGGACAGAAUGUUAUUAGAGAAUAAAUGUGUGUAGGCAUAUCUGUGUGCAUUCUGUUCAUAUAUGUAUAUGUGCAUUUACAUAUGUAGAUAUAUAUGCGCAACACACACACACACAAACACACACACACACCGAGUGAUUGUAUAUGCAUUAUUCAGCUUCCCUGAUCCUCAGUUUUGUCAUCAUUAAAACCUCCUGAUAAGACACUGGAGAUAAAGUGCCUGACAUUGUGUCUGCCUUGGAUACAUGCUCAAUAAGCCCUACUUUCCUUCUUCUUCCUUAAAACAGCACUGCCACCCUAUACAAGGCACUCAGCACACAUUUAUUGUGGACCUCCAAUGUCAAAGGACCAUGCCUGGGAUUCAGUGAAGAUUCAGUGAAGAUUGGAGGUGGACAAGAAACCUCUCUGAGUAAGGAGUCAGAAAGAUGUGAUGCAGUCCCGCCUCCACUCACUUCUCCGCCACCCACACGUUAACUUCCUCCUUCUUGGAGACAGACAUUCUAUACCCUUUUCAUUCUCCUCACACCUCCCAGAUU